UCGAGAUGAAGACACGCACGCGAGCGUCAGAUGGGGCUCAUCAGUGAGGAGGGGAGCUCGGCUGAGUGGUUGUUGGCUUUACACUAAGAUGUCAGCGGCAGCUUCUCUGCAGUGAGCACAUUGAGGUUAUGCUGCCUAUAAACUCCUGCUUGAGUCUCAGUGAGAAAGAGAAAGGCUAAAGCCUGAGCAGAUCCGAGCGUUGUUGAGCGUCUCCUGUGCUGCUUCAACCAUGAGUGACCCCGUGACUUCAGAUGAGCUCACCAAUGCUGUGGCUUCAGUCAUU